GGGUCCGGACACACUGAGGAUUGACAGGUGUUUCGUUUUGAUAUGGUAUUGUAUCAAUGCGUUUUUCCUUUUUGGAGAAAUGUACAUAUGUACUAUUAUGCAAAACAUUUCAAAUAUGCUAGUCCUUUCAUGAUUGUGUGAUAGGUGGUGCAUGGCCGUUCUUAGUUCGUGGAGUGAUCUGUCUGCUUAAUUGCGUUUCGCAUAUGGCUCGUACGUGCUUUAUGCUAAUACUGUGACCUCAUUGUUCUUUUACAGAGUGGUGACUGCGUCCGGUAUGGUAUACGCUGCGAUCGCCACGAAGGCAACGAACGUGACCGCAGCCUCUUGUUGCCUCCCAUGUGCAAACUGCAUUGUAUUUCUGCGUGUUGUACUUUAGGGUAUAAUAUGUGUUAUGCUUUCGGUUUUUGCCACAGUUUUUUCACUUGUAUUCAUUUCGUAUAUCUUUGGUGAUUUGCGAAGACUACUUGGAUUUAUAUUUGUGUUAUGUGGUCGCUUCAAAUGCGGCUAUGUACGCUUUUGUAUUUUCCUUGUAUGUCUCUCUGUUGCUUUUGAGAUAUAUUUGUUUAUGUGUACAUCGAAAUUAUCUG
rnacentral:rRNA from 1 species